rnacentral:lncRNA from 1 species
CUACCCUCUACAAGGCCUUGAUGCUUAAGGAAUCAAACAUAAAGCUCCUGGAUGCCAUAAAGAAUAUUGCCAAAAAGGUAAACAACUUGCUGACUUUCUCUGUAUUUCUUAUACAUGAAUAGGCUAACCAUGGGGUCUUAGUUCUAGUUUCAUUGUUGUGACAAGACACCAUGACCAAGGCAACUUUCAUAAAAGAAAAUAUUUAACUUAGGCUGGCUUCCAGUUUCAAAGAUUCAAUCCAGUAUCUUCAUGUUUGGAAGCAUAGCCACAUAAAGACAGAUAUGCCACUGGAGGAGACAAGAAUUCUACAUCUUGAUCUAAUUGCAGUGAGGAAAGAUUGUCCUCUAUAGGCGGUCAGGAGGUCUCAUUCCACAUUGGGCAGUUUCCCAAAGCCCACCCCAUA